GGACUACCGGGGUAUCUAAUCCCUUUCGCUCCCCUAGCUUUCGUUCAUCAGCGUCAAAAAAUUCCUAGUUACCUGCCUUCGCCCUUGGAGUUCCUAUCGAUAUCAACGGAUUUCACCCCUACACCGAUAGUUCCAGUAACCCCGAAAUAUUUCAACUCUUGCAGUAUUAUCUCCCUUCCCAAGGUUGAGCCUUGGUCUUUAAAAGAUAACUUACAAAAGCGCCUUUAGAAACGCUUUACGCCCAAUAAAUCCGGACAACGCUUGCACCUCUCGUAUUACCGCGGCUGCUGGCAC
rnacentral:rRNA from 1 species